rnacentral:rRNA from 1 species
AUGCAAGUCGAGCGAUUCUAUUAUGGAUUUUGCAGCUUUUCGCAAGAAAAAAUGCAAAAACUGUUUCAGGAAAGCGGCAAACGGGUGAGUAACACGUGAGCAAUUUACCCUCAAGAUGGGGAUAGCUUAUCGAAAGGUAAGGUAAUACCAAACGUGAUCUUAGGAUCGCAUGAUCCUUAGAUUAAAGGCGGGGACCGCAAGGCCUGCCACUUGAGGAUGAGCUCACGUCCUAUCAGCUUGUUGGUGGGGUAAUGGCCUACCAAGGCAUUUGACGGGUAGCUGGUCUGAGAGGAUGGACAGCCACACUGGGACUGAGACACUGCCCAGACUCCUACGGGAGGCUGCAGUCGAGAAUAUUUAGCAAUGGACGAAAGUCUGACUAUGCGACGCCGCGUGAGGGAUGAAGGUUUUCGGAUCGUAAACCUCUUUCGAUGGGGGAGAAACCUCUUGAUCUAAUACAUCAAGAGCUGACAGUACCCAGAGAAGAAGCCACGGCCAACUCCGUGCCAGCAGCCGCGGUAAUACGGAGGUGGCGAGCGUUACUCGGAUUCAUUGGGUGUAAAGGGCAGGCAGGCGGUUCCGAAAGUCGAGUGUGAAAUCUUCCCGCUCAACGGGGAAACUGCAUUCGAUACUUCGGAACUUGAGGCUGGAAGAAGAGAACGGAAUUCCCGGUGUAAGGGUGAAAUCUGUAGAUAUCGGGAGGAACGCCAGUAGCGAAAGCGAUUCUCUAGGCCAGUCCUGACGCUGAGCUGCGAAAGCUAGGGGAGCAAACAGGAUUAGAUACCCUGGUAGUCCUAGCUGUAAACGAUGAGCACUAGGUGUUGGUUCGCAAGGGCCAGUGCCGCAGUUAACGCACUAAGUGCUCCACCUGGGGACUACGACCGCAAGGUUAAAACUCAAAGGAAUUGACGGGGGCCCGCACAAGCGGUGGAACAUGUGGUUCAAUUCGAUGCUACGCGAGGAACCUCACCAAGGCUUGACAUGUAGGAAGUAGUGAACCGAAAGGGGAACCACCCGUUAAGUCGGGAGCCUACACAGGUGCUGCAUGGCUGUCGUCAGCUCGUGUCGUGAGAUGUUGGGUUAAGUCCCGCAACGAGCGCAACCACUAUCUUUAGUUGCCACCCGAGUAUUCAGUUUUCUGAAUACAAGGAGCACUCUAAAGAGACUGCCUGGGAUAACCAGGAGGAAGGUGGAGAUGGCGUCAAGUCAGUAUGGCCUUUAUGCCUUGGGCUACACACGUGUUACAAUGGCUGGUACAAAGGGUUGCCAAAUCGCGAGAUGGAGCUAAUCCCAAAAAACCAGCCCUAGUUCGGAUUGGAGUCUGCAAUUCGACUCCAUGAAGCUGGAAUCGCUAGUAAUGGCGCAUCAGCUACGGCGCCGUGAAUACGUUCCCGGGCCUUGUACACACCGCCCGUCAAGCGAUGGGAGCCGGUGGUACCCGAAGUCCUGUUUAGGCAGGCCGAAGGUAAAAUCGGUGACUGGCGCUAAGUCGUAACAAGGUA